rnacentral:rRNA from 1 species
AGUGAACGCUGGCGGUAGGCCUAACACAUGCAAGUCGAACGGCAGCACAGUAAGGGCUUGCUCUUACGGGUGGCGAGUGGCGGACGGGUGAGGAAUACAUCGGAAUCUACUUUUUCGUGGGGGAUAAUGUAGGGAAACUUACGCUAAUACCGCAUACGACCUACGGGUGAAAGCAGGGGAUCUUCGGACCUUGCGCGAUUGAAUGAGCCGAUGUCGGAUUAGCUAGUUGGCGGGGUAAAGGCCCACCAAGGCGACGAUCCGUAGCUGGUCUGAGAGGAUGAUCAGCCACACUGGAACUGAGACACGGUCCAGACUCCUACGGGAGGCGGCAGUGGGGAAUAUUGGACAAUGGGCGCAAGCCUGAUCCAGCCAUACCGCGUGGGUGAAGAAGGCCUUCGGGUUGUAAAGCCCUUUUGUUGGGAAAGAAAAGCAGCAGGUUAAUACCCCGCUGUUCUGACGGUACCCAAAGAAUAAGCACCGGCUAACUUCGUG